UACAGAGGGUGCAAGCGUUAAUCGGAAUGACUGGGCGUAAAGGGCGCGUAGGUGGUUAAAUACGUCAGCUGUGAAAGACUCAUGCUUAACGUGGGAAUUGCAGUUGAAACGGUUUGACUUGAGUGCUGUAGAGGGCAGAAGAAUUUCCGGUGUAGCGGUGAAAUGCGUAGAUAUCGGAAAGAAUACCAGUGGCGAAGGCGACUGUCUGGGCAGACACUGACACUGAGGCGCGAAAGCAUGGGGAGCAAACAGG
rnacentral:misc_RNA from 1 species